rnacentral:rRNA from 1 species
UACGGAGGGUGCAAGCGUUAUCCGGAUUCACUGGGUUUAAAGGGUGCGUAGGUGGGCUUGUAAGUCAGUGGUGAAAUCUCCGGGCUUAACCCGGAAACUGCCAUUGAUACUAUAGGUCUUGAAUUAUCUGGAGGUCAGCGGAAUAUGUCAUGUAGCGGUGAAAUGCUUAGAUAUGACAUAGAACACCAAUUGCGAAGGCAGCUGGCUACAGGUAUAUUGACACUGAGGCACGAAAGCGUGGGGAUCAAACAGG